CUGGUGUUAUUAUUUUAAACUAGGCUUGAACUUGGAACGUUUUACAGAUGGCUGAGAAUAUCUUCAUCAGCCAGCCUGCUACAUCCCAAACCCAUCAAUCCAGACACCCACCCUCAAAAGCCACAACUUCUCAGGUCUGAUUCAUCACCACAUAAUGAAAAACAACUUUUCAGAAAAAUGACACAAAAGUGAAAGAAUUUGUCAUCUGGGAAAAGAGGCCAAUAUAAAAUAACUUCAGCAAAUUACAAGGAACAAAUGCUUUCAAUCCUCAUGUCAUUUUACCAUCCAGUAUAUGACUUGUUUUGCAAAGAAGAAUUGCGUGACAUAGAGCUGCAGGCUUCCUUUCCAAUCAGGGAAGGUUCCCCUCCCCGGUUCUUGAUCCAUCUUCUACUCGUUCACAUAUUCUGUUGUGUGCAGCUGAAAGUUUAGGAGUUCUGACUCCCCACUGCAGACGGCUAAUAAAAUAGGUGCCAAGAGUCUCCCAGAGUUACGCUGUCCAGCAAAUGCUCCUGAAGUUUCUUAGCAACUGCAAGGCAUUUAUCUAAACAUCUUUAUGGAUUCCUUCAACCUUUACCAAGAGCAUAAAGGCCCAGAAGGAGCUGGAGAUGAGGUCAGCAUUACCUUGAAGAAAUGAGUGAACAAACAAGUUGUGAAGAAGGUCUACACACAUCACCAUGCAUGUGUGGAUAAUUUUCAUUUAAUGAUGUUGAAUCUCUCUGGCCAAAAUGGAGAACCAGAUAACUGCCAUGGAAACCUAGUGGCACCAGCAACCCCAAUUUACUCCUAGGUUCUGCGAGAUGGAAGUUGCUGUUUUUUUUUAAAUGUCACAACCAGGCACCAGAUACUAAAACAUUAUUUUUUGGUCCAAGAAUGAUCCCUGGCAUUUCCACCUUAAAAUCUGCAAGACAGGGAUGAUCAUCUGCUAGGCACAUUAGACGGAUCAAUGCUGGAUUACAUGGAAAAGACAUUUGGUUUAAAGUAAAGGAGUUUGAGAAGUUUAGAGUAAGAAGGAAUUGGGUCCAAAAUGUCACAAUCAAUUCCUAAAAUUGGGAACACGUAAAACUACAAAACAGAAUUGCUUGUUAGAAAUAAAAGGAACAUGAAGCCCUAACAUGUGGAAUGAGCUGAAGCUUUGUGUGUGUGAAUAUAUGUAUAUAUGUGUGUAUAUAUAUAUGUAUAUAUGUAUGUGCCAGGGGAACAAAGAAAUAGAAGCAAAACCUUAUAGAGUUACAAGAGAUUCUGGGAUCCUGUAGUAGUAUAUUUAAAAAAAUAAAUAGAACUGCCAAUAUGGCCCAUACUACUAUUUAGUCAGAAAAAUAAAAUGUUCCAUUUGCUCAAAAGCAUGUGGGAGAGCUUCCAUUCUUUCUGCUUCUCUUAUUUUUGUUAGCACAUUUCUCAAAGGUUUGAAUUGCUCUAUUUUGUCUGUUGAUUAAUCAUCAGCUAUGGAUGGGGGAGGGGCGGUGAACCUAAAGGGUAGAGAGGAGCUGAGCAAACAAAAUAAAUCCAUUAUUCCUCAUCCAGAGUGUCCUUCUUUGGAUGUGUUGCCUUUGAGCUCCCUUUCUCUGUUGUCAUGCUGUAGUGAAGGGAGUGUUGGGUUGUAUAACGCGCCUGCUCUCCAACAGCUCCUUUUCAGAUUAGUAACCAAGAUCCUUUCAUCUGGGGAUAAUAGACAGACUCUCAAUGCAAGAAUGUGAUGCAAGACACCAGCCUUCAGAAAACAUAAGAGUUGAGAUACAAAUUGAACUGAGGCUGAAUAGAGCCAAAAAAGAUCAAUUAAAACUAACCUAGAAUAUUGUCACCCCAAGCAACCACAACAACUGGCAUUUCCAUUCCCAGGAUACUUGUUUCAAGGAUUCCUGAGAUGCAUCUCUUGAAUCAAGGUUGACACUCCUUACAAAUAUAACCCACAAUCUAACAGCUAGUGAAUAGAUUGUGCUGUCCGGCCAACCCCAUGGAUACCAAAGGGAUGAUUAUCUAAUGGAAGCCACUGGGACAGGGCUUAAUGUGGGCCAGACUGCUGGAAGGGUAAUUUUAAAAAAAAAGGCUGUUUCAUACAGCAGCUUAAAAUAUUGCAAGGUCAUCCCAUUAAUUGACUCUCUUUGCAUGCUGAGCAGACUUGGUCAGGAAUUAGGAGAAAUUCAAGAGGAGCCAUUGUUUUACUUAGUUGAUUCCAAACAUAGGAGCUCAUGUUUAUAUAACUACAAGAUGCUUUGUAAAGUUCCAAAAAUAGGCUCAACUUUUAACUCCAGGGAAUGCAUUGAGACUAUUCCUUAGAAAAGGGGGUGUAGUCAGAACUGUUUUCCCAGUGCUUGUAGAUAUGGCAGGGAAGCAGAGGAGACAUUUAGAGAAACUUUUUUGUUUUUGCUUAUUUUAACAAAAGUAUUUUAGUCAGUAAUUUUAUGCUUUUUUGAGAGAGAGGGAGGGAGAGAGAGAGAAGGUGAUGCUGAAAAAUCCUUUCAGAAAUAGAUACCAUAUUAAUACAAUUGAGCGUGUCCAGAAAUAUUUUACAAGAAGAGUUCUCCACUCCUCUGUUUACAACAAAAUACCUUAUGCCACCAGACUUGAAAUCCUGGGUAUAGAAAGUUUAGAAUUCCGCCGCUUUCGACAUGACCUGAGUUUAACUCAUAGAAUCAUCUGUUACAAUGUCCUUCCUGUUGAAGACUACUUCAGCUUCAGUCGCAACAAUACACGAGCACACAAUAGAUUUAAGCUUAAUGUGAACCGCUCCAAUCUUGAUUGCAGAAAAUAUGACUUCAGUAACAGAGUUGUUAAUGGCUGGAAUGCACUACCUGACUGUUCUGUCCCCCCACCUCAGUCCGGGAGGCACGUGAAAUGACUCAAUUAGCCGGCAAUUUAGUCCACAGCAGCUAUCAGCUCUGGCAGCAAACCAGCGAGUGUCUGCCAAGGUUUUCUUUUAUCUUUCUUGAUGCCGGCAUGUCAACCAGGAAGUCAGGAACAAACAGCACUCCAAGUCAAAUGCUCAGUCAAAUAGUUCAGCUCAAGUUUUCUCCAGUUAGUUGAUUUGUUCGUCACGAAGUAGAUUAGCAGCCCCUCCUGCUUUUAUACCCUGUGGGGUGUGGCUCCGUGACUCAGCACUUUCUAAGCCUGCCCCAUCCCUGCUUCUGUUGUUCCCGCCUCUCGUCUAUGAAACCUGGGAUCUAACCAGCACUGAUUGUCCACAGCUGGAUCUGGGAGCAUUGCCUGGCCGGGGGGAGAUACAGGAGACAGAGGCCUCGUUUCUUCCUCCACCUGGCCUGCCUCUGACUCCUGGAGCUGAGCCAGAGAGGCCGGCCCAGCAGAGGGGAGCCCUGCCGGCCCUUCCCCCUCACUCUCUGAGUCACUCUCUGGCAGGGGGCCAGGCUCAGGGGGGGGGGGCUGGAGCCACAACACUGACUCUGUGGUCUCUUCACAAAAUUCCCAAAGCUUUAACCAAAAACUAUCUACUAUUGACCUCACCCCAUUCCUAAGAGGUCUCUAAGGGCACCAGCGUGCCUACCGUUCCUGUCCUAAUGUUCCCUUUGAUUGUAUCCAAUUCAUAUAGUUAUUUCAUGUUUAUGCUUAUAUAUAUGCUUAUAUAUCGUAAGUUAUUUCUUGCUUAUGCUUAUAUAUUUAUUUGUUGUGACAAAUAAAUAAAUAAAUAAAAAAUAUGUCAGAUGCUAUUUGAGGAGUGGGGAAAGCUCCAUAACUUUGAAACAGCAGACCAACAUACAAACCGCGGUGUGGCUCAGGCUGUAAGAAGCCUGUUAUUAAACACAGCUGCCUGCAAUUACUGCAGGUUGUAGUCCCACCCGGCCCAAGGUUGACUCAGCCUUCCAUCCUUUAUAAGGUAGGUAAAAUGAGGAGCCAGAUUGUUGGGGGGGCAAUAAAUUGACUUUGUAUAUAAAUAUACAAAUAGAAUGAGACUAUUGCCUUACACAAUAUAAGCCGCCCUGAGUCUUCGGAGAAGGGCGGGAUAUAAAUGUAAAUUAAAAAAAAACAAAACCCAACAAGAUGAAAAUGCAAAUCUUCCAACAUUAUGUUGGUCUGUGAUUCCAGUUUUCUGGAUUAAAGGUAUGCAGUGAUCUGGAUCUGAAAGGAAAAUAUUUUAAUAUGUGGGUAUGUACAUUGCAUCUGUUGGCAACCCCUUAAAAAAGAUAACGCUUGUCCCAAAUUCAAAUAUUGAUGCUCCAAAAUUGCACCAUAAUCUCAGGAAAAAUGCAUUUAAAUUAAGGACUCAUUUGCACUCAUACAUGCUUGGAAGUACCUUUUCCCCUUCAAAUCUGGAACACUACAUUGGCAUUACCGCUACAUGAUUCCAGACAGCAUCCUCAUGAUAUGAUGGAAUGAGCAGCUAUUCCUAAAACAGAGAUGUCCUACGGAGAUACUAGAUCUGUCAACUGGCUACUAAUUCUGGGAGCAGUACUUAUAGCACAAUGGGAACACCUGAAGGCAGAAGAUAAAACAAUGGACUAAUCAAGGAGAGAAACAACCUAGAACUGAGGAGAAAUAUCCUGACAGUUAGAACAAUUAAUCAGUGGAAUGAGUUGCCUCCAGAAGUUGUGGGUGCUCCAACACUGGAGGUUUUUAAGAAGAGAUUGGACAACCAUUUGUCUGAAAUGGUGUAGGAUUUCCUGCUUGAGCAGGGGGUUGGACUAGAAGACCUCCAAGGUCCCUUCCAACUCUAUUAUUCUGUUAUUCUGGAUGAAGCUAGGUUAGGGAAGGCUGCCCCAGAUAAUGAUUAGUUUUGACAACUGGUCAAUUGUUGAACAAUUCUUA